GGGCCCGCACAAGCGGUGGAGUAUGUGGUUUAAUUCGAUGCAACGCGAAGAACCUUACCAGGGUUUGACAUCCUGCGAAUCUCUUGGAAACAGGAGAGUGCCUUCGGGAACGCAGUGACAGGUGGUGCAUGGCUGUCGUCAGCUCGUGUCGUGAGAUGUUGGGUUAAGUCCCGCAACGAGCGCAACCCACGUCUUUAGUUGCCAGCAUUCAGUUGGGCACUCUAAAGAAACUGCCCGUGAUAAGCGGGAGGAAGGUGUGGAUGACGUCAAGUCCUCAUGGCCCUUACGGGUUGGGCUACACACGUGCUACAAUGGUAGUGACAAUGGGUUAAUCCCCAAAAACUAUCUCAGUUCGGAUUGUCGUCUGCAACUCGACGGCAUGAAGUCGGAAUCGCUAGUAAUCGC
rnacentral:rRNA from 1 species